AAAAAGGGUACUUGCCUGCUAAAUGGCACGCAGCUUCUCCGAAGUUGUGCAGAAUCGCUAGCAAGAGAUUCUGAAUACAUAAUUUUUGGAACUUGGGGCAGCUGAUAGUCUUUACUUCGGCGCUCCA